rnacentral:lncRNA from 1 species
UUGAUAGUAAAAUAUUUUUAUUUCAUUGACAAAGAUAGUGAUUACAAAAAAGAAGUCAUGAAAUACACUAAUCAUGACACAGAAGUCAUGAAAUACACUAAUCAUGACAUAAAAGUUAGGCAAUAAUCAAACUCAAAAGACAUUGCUCACACAAAGAUAUUAAAAGAUUCGCAUUUAUUUCUGACUACAAUUUAUAAUUAACUUUUUUAAUUUUUAAAACAAAAAAAAGAAGGAAAAUGUAAUAUAAUGAUUGAUCUACACAUAGAUUAAAAUUCUGUACAAUGAUCUUGAAUUUAUACAUAAUGAUAACAUGUUUCCAUUAUAUGAAAGGAAUGUGAUUUUAUCUAUAAAAUGACUGAUGAUCAAAUGAUAUUUUUGCUGCGUAGACAUAAAUUCGGAUCAGGAAAGGUGUUCAACAUUGCGAUGUACUCAACAUUAUGCGUUUAUUAUGUUCAACAUGAGAUACAUUGUAAACUGGUUUAAUUUACUGAUACUUUUACUUAUAAUUAAUCCAAGAUCCCAUAUACUAUUCAAUAAAAUAAUAAAGUAAAUAAGUUUGGAAAGCAUCCCUGAAAUCAUACAAUAUCAAUCCUUUAAAUAAUUAAUAUAAAUGUAGAAUUGUACUAAACAAUAUAAGAUAUGUCUUAAUCGAAUAUAUAAAUAAGUACUGUAAAAACUUCAAUUUCUUGAACACCGGAAUUAACUUCAAAAACUUUUCUACAUAAUGUGAUUAUGUCUAUUCUUCUUUAAAGGGAACAUCAAUAUAGAAUUUAAAUUGCAGAAACUUUAACAUUUGGUCUUGCAUUUCAUGGUGCUUUAUACACAAUUUUUUUUACUGUAAAAUAUUCCUAUAUAGGCUGGUGCUCCUCAACUAUAUUUAAGAACUUGCUCCAAAAUUCUUUGUGAAGAAAAGUAAUAAUAAUUCUUGUUUGAAUUCACAUAUUAACUAAUGUGUAUAUUUUGCAAAUGAUAUCUCAUGUUUGUUAAAUUCUUAUUGGAUUAUUUCCUCCAUUUUAUCCUUUUUUUAAGUAUUACAAACAAAACAAAAACUUAAACAUUGAUAUAUAGUAUCUUAUAAUAUGGCACUGUGAUCAACACUGUAGUACAAUCAUACCAUAUUUUCUGCAAUAAUUUUAUAAAACCUUUAUAAAAUUUUCAAAUUUGUCCCCAAACAUUAAAGUCCAUUAGAGAAUGACUGCAGUCCUCCAGUGUAUUAACAGCAAAAUGAAAUUAUGAUGGUAUACUUAAAAAUGUUUUUUGCUAGACUUUAUUCUAUGCUUAUUUUGCCCUAAUGUUAUAAAAUAUUAUUUUAGAUGAUUCAACUAUGUAAGUUAACUUUAGUGGCCAUGGUUCAUUUUUAUUUUUUUCCAGGAAUUCACAGGGUCAUGUUAGUCCAAAAAUUACAUUUUCUUAUUCAAACAGUUCCAUAAAGCUGUCUUUGUGAAAUUAUUUUUCAAAAUGCAGUUUAAUUUUAUGAAGCUUAACCACGUCAAUUGUUUUAACUGGUUGAAAAAAUCUUACCAGUAAUUUCUGAUAUAAAACCUUAAGUAUCAACAAAUUAAAUAAUAAUAAAUCUAAAAUAUAUGUAACAAUGGAAAAUACAACAAAUAAAAUAUAAACACUAACUUAAUGUUCACAACUUUACUACACUAAUCACAGAGCUCUUAAUAAAAUAUGAAGAUAUUCAAUCUUUAGAACAAUAUUGUGCAAUAAAAAAAAAUGUAAAUUUUAAUAAAUUUAAUCAUUUGUUUACUGGCAUUUAAAUCAAUAUUUAGUCCAUAUACUUGUAAUAUCCAACUGGCAAGUAAAAGAGGUAACAAACUGUAUCACAGAAAAAACAAAACAAAAUCAAUUAAAAAAAAAUCGUAACAAAAUUCAAGAGUUAAUUUUUUUUCUUUCUGAUAUUACACAUACAUAUUUAUAAGUCUAAAAACCAUUUUUUUGGUAAGGAAAAACAACUUAUUCUUUCAAAAAAACAACUGAUUUUUUUAGGGGGAUGGGGACAUGUUUUACUGAUAUGAACUAUUUUUUCACAUAUUCAAACAUACUACAUGCACAAUUGGAAUUGUUUACACAGUUUGUUGAACAUUUGUAAAUGAAAUAAGAUACAUAUUUACAUCAUGAAUAAUUUUAUAAUUGACUAGCAUUAAAACAGAAUAAUGAAAAACAAUAAAUGCAGUUUGGAUGUAUGUUGGGUAUAAUAACCAGUCCAUCAUUUGAACUCUGGACACAUGAAUAACUAUUUUUAUAUCUGAUGUAACCUGGUUCUAUUAUACAAUACACUUUCGACAUAAUUUUUUAACAAUCUUGGAUAAUUUAUGGAUGAGAUUGUCAUUUAUGUCUUGAUUUCAGUUAAUGGUUCAUUUAAAUAUAUAGAUACUCUUGUAUUUGUACAACAAAUUCAAAAGUGAAUAAUAAAAGUGCAAUCAGCAAUUCUUCAAUUUUAUAUAUCCUCUUAUAACAGAAGUUUAAAUAAAACUAUUUUUAAUAGAUACCUUAGAACUGUUUAUUUUAGUGUUUCUCCUAUUUCAAAAAACAAAACAACAAUAAAAAAAAAACAAUAUGAGAAAAAACUAAUAAAAUCAACAUUACUGACUGUAUUGUUCAAUACUAAUGAAAUACCAUUUCUUAUUUUAUAAAAACAAAAAAUUCAGGCGAUUUUAAAAAUAUGCAACUAAACCAAAUAUGCUAGAGACUACUCCUCUACUAGUUAGUAAAUAUUAGUAUUUCACAAUGCAAUCAAUUCUAAAGUUCUAAUGAAAAUAAUGCUGCAAGUAAAUAUUUACAAAAAAGACAAGAGUGCACACACUGAAAUGUCUCGCCUUCUAUACUAAUCAUUGAUAUUAUGUUGAUAGUCCUAGGUAUAAAGCUAAGCUUUAUUACAACUGUCACAUAAACUUAACAUUAACCAAGAUAACUAAACAAAGACCAAUGAACCUUGAAAAUGAGGUCAAGGUCAGAUGAACAUGCCAGGCAGACAUGUACAGCUAACAAUGCUUCUAUACAACAUAUAUAGUUGACCCAUUACUUAUAGUUUAAGAAAAAUAGACCAAAACACAAAAAGUUAACACUGUGCAAUGAACCGUGAAAAUGAGGUCAGGGUCAAAUAAAACCUGCGUGACUGACAUAAAGA